rnacentral:rRNA from 1 species
CUACGGGAGGCAGCAGUGAGCGAAUUUUCCGCAAUGGGCGAAAGCCUGACGGAGCAAUACCGCGUGAAGGAUGAAGGCCUGUGGGUCGUAAACUUCUUUUCUCAUAGAAGAACAAUGACGGUAUAUGAGGAAUAAGCAUCGGCUAACUCCGUGCCAGCAGCCGCGGUAAUACGGAGGAUGCAAGCGUUAUCCGGAAUGAUUGGGCGUAAAGCGUCUGUAGGUGGCUUUGUAAGUCUAAUGUCAAAGACCAGGGCUUAACCUCGGGAAGGCAUUAGAAACUACAAGGCUUGAGUUGGGUAGAGGCAGAGGGAAUUCCCGGUGUAGCGGUGAAAUGCGUAGAUAUCGGGAAGAACACCGAAGGCGAAAGCACUCUGCUGGGCCUUGACUGACACUCAGAGACGAAAGCUGGGGGAGCGAACGGGAUUAGAUACCCCGGUAGUCCUAGCCGUAAACGAUGGAUACUAAGUGCUGGGUCUCUUUCGAGAUACAGUGCUGUAGCCAACGCGUUAAGUAUCCCGCCUGGGGAGUAUGCUCGCAAGAGUGAAACUCAAAU